GCCAUCUUCAUUUCGAGUUCAGUUUCUUUUUAAUCUUUUAUAUAAAUAUAAUUUAUCCCUAAUUUUUCUUUGUUGCAAUUUAAUUUGAUCCAUUGUUCUUCAUUUCAACAAAUUUUAGUUUGGAAUGGGUUAAAUUUGGUCCAUUUUGGAGAUUCAUGACCUAAUGAAUAGAAGGAUCUCAACUUUUGUUAAUACCAGGAAUAAUAUAGAAUUGAAAUUUUAAGACCUUAGCCAUUAUGAAUUUCUCUGAUUAGUAGCAGUAUCUCCUGUUUUGAUGAACUAUUUCCACCAUUAGUAACCCCUUUGAAUAUAGACACUUGAAAGGAAGCAUUGUGGAACAGUGGAAUUUGUUGUUAUCUCUUGAGCUAAUUCUGACUGUACAUAUCUUUUGUUGGGAAGCAUUGUGGAAAGAAAAAACAGGGGGAUUUUGUCUUCUCUUUAGCUAAUUGUGACUGAAGAUAAUUAUUGUUCGUGGUAACAAAAGAUAUGGAGGUAAAGCCAACAGUUGCUCUAAGAGCUAUGCUAGUAGGUGGAAUAGCUGUAUUUGCAAAGGUGGCUGGUGCAAUGAAGGCAGCUGGUGGUGUGAAGCUAGGAGCUGCAGCUGCUGCUAUGACAGCAGCAGCAACUGCAGCAGUUUCAACAAAAAAGGAAACAGAUGAUGUUUUCAAGCAACCUUCAAAGUGAGCUUUUGUUAUGUAACAGUUGUAGGAGAUCUUUAGAUAGGAAUAAGGGUGCUGUAAUACGGAACCACAUUUGUAUUACAACAUCUCUGUCUGGAAAAGAAGAACCAGACAUAAGAAAUAACAACAAAAUUUUGUACUUUAUUUCGAAAUCUAAACUUACAUAUGAAUACUAUACUCACCUGUACCACAAUUUUUACACCAUUUUCUUUAUGCAAACUGUGACUCCAUUUAUUUUGA